CUUCUUUAUCGUUUAUUAUUUUGAUGGUACGUAAUUUUCAUAGUAAUUUGCCAUGUCUGGCAUCUAUGGUUUUUAUUCUCUAACAGUUAUCUAUUGCCCACAUCUAUGAUUUUCUUCUAUCAAUUAUCUAUUGUGUGCAAGCAUCUAUGGUUAUUUCUAUUGCCUUUAUCUAUGUCUUGAAUAAAAUUGACAGCACAUCGCCAUUUUAUGAUUUGGAUCGUUCAAAUGGUGAGAAAGGAAGAAUUAAUGUUCAGAUUGAUGGUAUUGCAACAGCCAAUGUCUUGUCUUGAUUUGCUGUUUUCGUCUUCAACUUGCAACAUUAUGCAGUUAAUAUUCAACCGAUGAGUGUGAGCCAGAGAAGAUUUAUAUAAAUCUCACUGAAACAAGUUUUCUGCUAUGAUAUUCCUUCUGGAUUUAGUUUGCUUUUCACACAUGCAAACUUGGGAACUUUACAGUAGUCUACUGUUUACUAAGAUCGACGUUGGAGAAGACAAAGAUGACCCAGUAGUUGAAA